AAUAGUGAAGAGAGGACACCCCGGACCGCACGGAGGGGAACGGCAUCUGCAGGGACCGAGAUUAGUGUUCUGAAGUAUUAACCCCAACUAUUAGGCACUUUUCACAGUCCCCUCUGGAAGUUUCUCCUCUACGUGCUUCAUUUUCUAGUCCCUCUAGGGCAGUCCUUCUCCACCUCACCAGCAAUACUGCAUUCUCUCCUCUCAGCUUCUGGUUUGGCCAUGGCAACCUUACCAAUCCAGUCUCUUAGUUGCCCACUGCCAUCUCUGCAGUCAAAGUCCAUGUGGCCCUGCACCCUGUCCCUGGAGUCACAAGACAUAUUUUUCACAAUUGUUGCACGAACAACCACAGCCGCCUUACAGUGUCAUCAGUGUCUUAUCCCCAGUCUGCAGCAAUGCCAACAACAAUCCACAUGGUGUCAAGAAUGUUUAUUUAACUACUUUAAAGCUUCUGCUCCAUGUGGUGGCAUGAAGUCAUUCACAACUACAAUACCCCAACCAAGAUCCUGUACUACACAGCUCAGCAGCACGACUCUCAGAGUUAGGAAAUCCCCACCGCCCAUGCUGUGCAACCGUAGUGGGGCAACUUUCAACCACACACACAUUGCUAAGUAAAUAAAUAAAUAAUAGUGUAAUAAGUCUUACAGUACUAUGUGAGGGUACAUUCACAUAUACAGGAUCUGCUGCAGAUUUGAUACUGCUGAUAUCAAUGUAACUAAAUGAUUCCACUUUGGCCGCUUAACACAUGUACAUACAUGCAAUGCAUUUGAAAAGUUGUCUGAAGAAGAGAGACUGGCAGAGGAAAAGCUGAAUGGAGCAAAGAGAGAUUUUCUUAAUGAAAAGCUGAUCCAGAGUGCUCUGGACCUUAUACUGGUUCAGCUACCAACAAGGCAAUGACCCUAAGCACACAGCCAAGAAAACACAGGAGUGGCUUAGGGAAAACUCUGUGAAUGUCCUUGAGUGGCUCAGCCAGAGCCCUGACUUGAAUCCAAUUGAACAUCUCCUGAAAAUGGCUUCCACUGACGGUCCCCAUCCAACCUGACAGAGCUUGAUAGGAUCUGCAGAGAAGUAUGGCAGAAAAUCCCCAAACCCAGGUGUGUAAACCUUGUGGCAUCAUAUUCAAGAAGACUAGAGGCUGUAAUCGC